rnacentral:rRNA from 1 species
UCCACGCCCUAAACGAUGAACACUAGUCGUCGGGAUGCUAGUCAUCUCGGUGAUGCACUUAACAGAUUAAGUGUUCCGCCUGGGGAGUACGGUCGCAAGAUUAAAACUCAAAGGAAUAGACGGGGACCCGCACAAGUGGUGGAGCAUGUGGUUUAAUUCGAAAAUACGCGAAGAACCUUACCUGGACUUGACAUCCUAUAAAUGAUUUAGAGAUAGAUUAGUGCUAGUUUACUAGAAUAUAGUGACAGGUGCUGCACGGCUGUCGUCAGCUCGUGUCGUGAGAUGUUGGGUUAAUCCCG